GACACGGCCAGCCAAGCUCCGCCCGCGCCCCAGUCCGCCGACACGGCCAGCCAAGCUCCGCCCAUGCCCAGGGUUCACCUAGUGACCUCAGAGCCUCAGCCUCCCUGUUCAGCCGUGGACGUCGCUCAGCCUCCCUGCUCCAUGGCAGAUAGCGUUCCCCCCUUCUGCUUCAAGGAGACCCACGCUCCUCUCCCUGGCCGCACAGAGACCCACGCUCCUCUCCCUGGCCGCACAGAGACCCACGCUCCUCUCCCUGGCCGCACAGAGACCCACGCUCCUCUCCCUGGCCUUACAGGGGACUUCGCUCUGCCUCCCAGUUUAGCUGGGGACGUCACUCCACUUUCAUGCUCCGACGAGGACGUCGCCCUGUUUCCCUGCUCCGCCGAGUACAGUGCUCUGUUUCCCUGCUCCGCCGAGUACAGUGCUCUGUUUCCCUGCUCCGCCGAGUACAGUGCUCUGUUUCCCUGCUCCGCCGAGGUCGUCGCUCAGCCUCCCUGUCCAGCUGAGGUCGUCGCUCAGCCUCCCUGUCCAGCUGAGGUCGUCGCUCUGCUUCCCUACGCCGCCAAGAACACCGUGCAGUUUUCUGGCUCUGCUCGGGACAUUCAGCCCAGGGGGCCGGGGCCGCCAAUGAAAUGGGAUGACUCAUGGCACUCCGGGAGGAGUGCCUUUGGGGGGGGUUCUGUCACGAUUCCCCCUUGAAGCAGCGUGCUCUAAGCGCGAAUGCGCGAGCAUCUGCUUUUCCGCUGUUGACCGUAGUGACAUUGGGACACGUGUGUUUUGUUUAUGUCUGUCAUGUCUCCUCCCUGUUCCGUCAUUGGCUGGGAAUUCACGUGGGUCUGAAUUGCUCUCAGCUGAUAGCAGUUGAGGCGCUGAUCAUGUCGGCAUAUAUAGCACGCGUCUCCCAGCACACAAGGUGGAAGAUUAAGAAGUCGUAAGUAGUAAGUAAAUGGUUAGUUAGUUUAGUUCGUAGCGUAUUCAUAGUCACGGUUCAUGUUAGAGUUAGUUUAGUUUGCGUCACAGUCAUAGUCAUAGUCA
ensembl:lncRNA